UGAUUAAUCUGAGUUAGAAUUGUCCCCUUUUAUUCUUAGUUUGUAUUAUGUUCAGUGCUCUUAACACCCGUGCAACUAGCAGUAGACAUUAAAGAGAACCCUGUAAUGGUUGUUGGAAAUUGUUAACAGUAGUUGUCUAGUACUAGUAGUCCAAAAAUCCAUACAACUUUAACAAAGCAAUCCACUUAGAAUUCCUUUCUUCUCUAUCUAAAUUCUCAACCAUUCAUUCCACUAGCACAAUUGCCCCCAACCUAUUUAUUUGCAAGGCCUCGCAAUAUUCGGCUUUUGAAGUUUUACUAGGCCCUGGUGCGUAAGUGGGCUUUUAGUUUUUCUGGGCUCUAUUCCCAUGGUUAUGAACAAUGGAAGGCCCAACUAAGGCACACCUCGUCCCUUAUCGAUCUCUCUCCUAUUUUUCCCGCCACUCCAUAUCCUCACAAACACACAAUUACACAAACAUACUCUCUCUCUCUCUCUCUCUCUCUCUCUCUCUCUCUCUCUAUGUUAGCUCCGAUCCGCCGCCGCCGCCGCCACCGAAUCUCGCUUCUACGCCCACAAGGCUGCUCAACUCUUCGUCCCCUCACGCUUGAUGGAUAAAAAAUGGUGAGCAUUUGACAAAGAAAGAACAAUUUGUGGAGAAGAAUCAGUUGGGUGAACUGGGGAAUAAGAAGAUGGAGAAAAGUUGGAACUUGGAAGCCAUUAGUGUUAUAUGUAUUAUUUUAUAAUUGUGAAUACAAGUUAUAAUAUGAAACUAAUAAGAAUAGCAAUAAUUCAAAUGUC